rnacentral:rRNA from 1 species
UACGAAGGGGGCUAGCGUUGCUCGGAAUCACUGGGCGUAAAGCGCUCGUAGGCGGCUUUCUAAGUCAGGGGUGAAAUCCUGGAGCUCAACUCCAGAACUGCCUUUGAUACUGGGGAGCUCGAGUCCGGAAGAGGUGAGUGGAACUCCGAGUGUAGAGGUGAAAUUCGUAGAUAUUCGGAAGAACACCAGUGGCGAAGGCGGCUCACUGGUCCGGUACUGACGCUGAGGUGCGAAAGCGUGGGGAGCAAACAGG